GAUGAACGCUGGCGGCGUGCCUAAUACAUGCAAGUCGAGCGAACGGACGAGAAGCUUGCUUCUCUGAUGUUAGCGGCGGACGGGUGAGUAACACGUGGAUAACCUACCUAUAAGACUGGGAUAACUUCGGGAAACCGGAGCUAAUACCGGAUGAUAUUUUGAACCGCAUGGUUCAAAAGUGAAAGACGGUCUUGCUGUCACUUAUAGCUGGAUCCGCGCUGCAUUAGCUAGUUGGUAAGGUAAUGGCUUACCAAGGCAACGAUGCAUAGCCGACCUGAGAGGGUGAUCGGCCACACUGGAACUGAGACACGGUCCAGACUCCUACGGGAGGCAGCAGUAGGGAAUCUUCCGCAAUGGGCGAAAGCCUGACGGAGCAACGCCGCGUGAGUGAUGAAGGUCUUCGGAUCGUAAAACUCUGUUAUUAGGGAAGAACAUAUGUGUAAGUAACUGUGCACAUCUUGACGGUACCUAAUCAGAAAGCCACGGCUAACUACGUG
rnacentral:rRNA from 1 species